AAAAGCUCGUAGUUGGAUCUCAGCUCCGGCCGGACGGUCCGCCUACCGGUGGUUACUGUUCGCUGCCGAGCGUUCAGGGGGCCGCUGUCGAUGAUCUUCAUCGGUUGUCGGCGGUGACCCUCACGUUUACUUUGAAAAAAUUAGAGUGCUCAAAGCAGGCGCGACGCCUGAAUAAUUGUGCAUGGAAUAAUGGAAUAGGACCUCGGUUCUAUUUUGUUGGUUUUCGGAACACGAGGUAAUGAUUAAGAGGGACAGACGGGGGCAUUCGUAUUGCGACGCUAGAGGUGAAAUUCUUGGACCGUCGCAAGACGAACUACUGCGAAAGCAUUUGCCAAGAAUGUUUCCAUUAAUCAAGAACGAAAGUUAGAGGUUCGAAGGCGAUCAGAUACCGCCCUAGUUCUAACCAUAAACGAUGCCAGCCAGCGAUCCGGCUGCGUUCCUCAAAUGACGCGCCGGGCAGCUUCCGGGAAACCAAAGCUUUUGGGUUCCGGGGGAAGUAUGGUUGCAAAGCUGAAACUUAAAGGAAUUGACGGAAGGGCACCACCAGAAAUGGAGCCUGCGGCUUAAUUUGACUCAACACGGGAAAACUUACCCGGCCCGGACACAGGAAGGAUUGACAGAUUAAGAGCUCUUUCUUGAUUCUGUGGGUGGUGGUGCAUGGCCGUUCUUAGUUGGUGGGGCGACUUGUCUGGUUAAUUCCGAUAACGAACGAGACUCUAGCCUACUAAAUAGACGUUCCCGUCCUCUUGUAGCGGGACGUUCUUCUUAGAGGGACAAGCGGCGUUUAGCCGCACGAGACAGAGCAAUAACAGGUCUGGGAUGCCCUUAGAUGUCCGGGGCCGCACGCGCGCUACAUUGAAGGAAUCAGCGUGUGCUUUCCCUGUCCGAGAGGACUGGGUAAUCCGUUGAACCUCCUUCGUGCUGGGGAUUGAAAAAUGUAAUUGAAUYCAUGAACGAGGAAUUCCCAGUAAGCACGAGUCAUCAGCUCGUGUUGAUUACGUCCCUGCCCUUUGUCCACACCGCCCGUCGCUACUACCGAUUGAAUGAUUUAGUGAGGUCUUCGGACUGGCGCUCGGAUUGGCCUUCGCGGUCGAGCCGGUGUGUCGGAAAGAUGACCAAACUUGAUCAUUUAGAGGAAGUAAAAGUCGUAACAAGGUUUU
rnacentral:rRNA from 1 species